CCUACGGGGGGCAGCAGUGGGGAAUAUUGCACAAUGGGCGCAAGCCUGAUGCAGCCAUGCCGCGUGUGUGAAGAAGGCCUUCGGGUUGUAAAGCACUUUCAGCGGGGAGGAAGGCGUUAAGGUUAAUAACCUUGUCGAUUGACGUUACCCGCAGAAGAAGCACCGGCUAACUCCGUGCCAGCAGCCGCGGUAAUACGGAGGGUGCAAGCGUUAAUCGGAAUUACUGGGCGUAAAGCGCACGCAGGCGGUCUGUCAAGUCGGAUGUGAAAUCCCCGGGCUCAACCUGGGAACUGCAUUCGAAACUGGCAGGCUAGAGUCGUGUAGAGGGGGGUAGAAUUCCAGGUGUAGCGGUGAAAUGCGUAGAGAUCUGGAGGAAUACCGGGGGCGAAGGCGGCCCCCUGGACAAAGACUGACGCUCAGGUGCGAAAGCGUGGGGAGCAAACAGGAUUAGAACCCGUGUAGUC
rnacentral:rRNA from 1 species